rnacentral:rRNA from 1 species
UCUUGACGGAGGGAUCAUUACUGAGUACUACACUCUCUACCCUUUGUGAACUAUUAUACCUGUUGCUUCGGCGGCGCCCGCGAGGGUGCCCGCCGGUCUCAUCAGAAUCUCUGUUUUCGAACCCGACGAUACUUCUGAGUGUUCUUAGCGAACUGUCAAAACUUUUAACAACGGAUCUCUUGGCUCCAGCAUCGAUGAAGAACGCAGCGAAACGCGAUAUGUAAUGUGAAUUGCAGAAUUCAGUGAAUCAUCGAAUCUUUGAACGCACAUGGCGCCUUCCAGUAUCCUGGGAGGCAUGCCUGUCCGAGCGUCGUUUCAACCCUCGAGCCCCCGUGGCCCGGCGUUGGGGAUCUGCCACGGCAGGCCCCUAAAACCAGUGGCGGACCCGAAGGCCCUCUCCUUUGCGCAGUAGCAUCAGCCUCGCAUUGGGAUCCCUCGGCGUCCUGCCUCUAAACCCCCCACAAGUCCGCUCCGGCGGCACCAAGGUUGACCUCGGAUCAGGUAGGAAUACCCGCUGAACUUAAGCAUAUCAAUAAGCGGAGGAAA